GAUGAACGCUAGCUACAGGCUUAACACAUGCAAGUCGCAGGACUGGCGCACGGGUGAGUAACGCGUAUCCAACCUUCCCAUAACUACGGGAUAACCCGUUGAAAGACGGCCUAAUACCGUAUGGUAAUGGAUGGGGAUGAGUCUGAUUUGCUUGUUGGUGGGGUAACGGCCCGCCAAGGCGACGAUCAGUAGGGGUUCGGAGAGGAAGGUCCCUCACAAUGGAGCUGAGACACGGUCCAAACUCCGACAGGGGGGAGCAGUGAAGACUAUUGGUCAAUGGGCGAGAGCCUGAACCAGCCAAGUAGCGUGCAGAAGGACGGCCUAUGGGUUGUAAACUGCUUUUAUGGGGGGAUAGGUACCACAUGAAUAAGGACCGGCUAAUUCCGUGCCAGCAGCCGCGGUAAUUC
rnacentral:rRNA from 1 species